UUCUAGUUAUGUAAAUUGAUUUGGUGCGAGGGUUGGAAAUUAAAUGUUCAUAAACAUACAGGCAUCGCGUGACAAUUCAUGUAAUAACCCUUUAAUGGGUAGCUGAGGAUCUACCUGAAGAUUAAAUGUGUCUCGGAUGAAGCAUCACCAAAUAUUUAGAAAUCUUCUGUUUGUUUACAAGCACUGGAAACCAAAUUACCUUAUGAAAUAGCUUUCUCCUGGAUUUAAAGUCGGACCAUUUUCUGGAAAUAAUUUGUCGUAAUAUUCUGAUAAACCAUCUGUAAACCCUACCAGCAUGCCACGAGUUUAUUAGAGAUGACCCUCCACACCAGUGCUGCGGACUUUAUUGGAGGCAUCCUAGUGUUUUUACCGUUUGCUCUCAAUCUUGCAGUAAUGAUUGUGUCAACAGUUCGAGCUAAGGGGGUAAAAAUGAAGGAAGAAGAGGAAGAUUGUAACGGAAGUGACGUCAAUAACAAUAAUACUGAAAACCUGAGAUAUCCAGGAAGUUUGCUGAAUAGUGUUCGGUCUUAUUAUUAGCCAUUAUCCAUCCCUACUGAGUGUAGUAUCACAGUUCCUUUCAUGGAAAUACUUCAAUCUUGACAUUUUAUCAUAUUCUUUGUAUGUGUGAGUGAUGGGUUAAGAAUGGUUAUUUAUGAUGAAUGAAAGAUGCGAAGUAUGCGAGUUGCUUUAGACAAGUAUGUAUAUUAGGGCUGGGACGAUACAACUUUUUCUAUAUCGAUACGUAUCCCGAUAUUUGAGCCACGAUACGAUAUGUAUCACGAUAUGUUUAAUUGGUUAUAAAUCCUUUUUUUAUAUUGAAAUGAACAAAACAUUUCUUCACAAAUAAGAAUAAUUUAUUCAAAGAAGUUGUAUAUCUGUUGUAAAACUUAAUUAUUUUGCACAAGUGGUCUUAAUUAUUAUGUAUUUCAUAUUUAUAUUUAUAUUAAGCAUAUUUAUUUUACAUACUAAACCCAAAAUGUUAAGUAAACAAAGAAAAACAUUAGUCAGAAUUUUUUGGGCGAUAUGUCGAUAUUUCUUCAUAUGUAUCGAUAUGCGUAUCAUCCUCACAUUGAAUCGAUAUGAUCGAUAUCUCGAUAUAUCCUCCCAGCCCUAAUGUAUAUGUAUGACAUUUUUGAUAUACUGUAUGAUAAUUAUAUGACAUAUCAUCUAGAAUGUGUUCAAUGUCAAUGUAAUACAAGAAACUGAAGCUUGAAUUUCGAUAAAUUAUUUGAUAGAACUGUU